rnacentral:tRNA from 1 species
CGCGGGGUGGAGCAAUGGUAGCUCGUUGGGCUCAUAACCCAAAGGUUGCUGGUUCAAAUCCAGCCCCCGCAACCA